GCGAGGAGUAUACCGAAUCUGAUGAAAAGGGGGUAUCCAGACAGGAGUGUUAUAGUAUGUCACAAAACAGCAGAGCAUAUAUGUCAGGGAGGAAUUAUAAGAGCACCGGAUAAUAACAAGAUAAACUAACUGACAAGGUGAUUAGCAGUGGUGACACUGGGUGUUAGCAGUGGAAGACUAGGAAGAAAUAGCAAAUAUAAAAGUUCAGCUC